rfam:Danio rerio chromosome 2, GRCz11 reference primary assembly.
CUCUUUGGUUAUCUAGCUGUAUGAGUUAUGAAAUAUCAUAAAGCUAGAGAACCGAAAGU